rnacentral:rRNA from 1 species
AGCCGCGGUAUACGUAGGGUGCAAGCGUGUCCGGAAUUACUGGGCGUAAAGAGCUCGUAGGUGGUUUGUCACGUCGUCUGUGAAAUCCACAGCUUAACUGUGGGCGUGCAGGCGAUACGGGCUGACUUGAGUACUGUAGGGGUAACUGGAAUUCCUGGUGUAGCGGUGAAAUGCGCAGAUAUCAGGAGGAACACCGAUGGCGAAGGCAGGUUACUGGGCAGUUACUGACGCUGAGGAGCGAAAGCAUGGGUAGCAAACAGGAUUAGAUACCCUGGUAGUCAAGGGCG